AAUUGAGUCUAUAGAUUGCUGGAGAUUGCUUUUUUCUUGUAAAUCGUUAAGAUAGUUCCAAGUUGAUGGAGAUUCAUGUCCUGCAAAACUGUGAUCUCUAUCAGUUAACCAUUUGUUUUUCCCUUUGUUCUUGGGGAGUCAGGAGUGCAUGAGGAAUGUCACACAUAUCCCACCCAAGGGGGGGUGUUGUGGUGUAUUAGCUUGUGCUUUGUCCUCAGCUUGCCUUUUGCCGUCUCACACAAUGGACCCAAUGAAGCUACGAGAUCUAAAGACUAAAGACUGUUUCUUACAGUGUGUGGACUUUUGCCACCUACACACAGAUCAUCUUUGAUGAUUGUUAAAAAUGCAUAUUCCUGGGCCACAACUCCACCCGCUAAAUCAUAAUCUCAGGUAUUGACCUAAGAAUCUGCAUCUUUUAAUGGGCUCUUCGGACAUGUUAAAAUUUGAGAGCUACUUUCCCAAGGCCGAAUAGGAGACAUUGUGUCUAAGGGAGACGCGGUAGUCUCUUUUUGCAAAAUUGUGCUCUCCUGGGAAACAGUGAUGACCAGGAUACCAAUCAGGUCCUUUAGGAGUUAGAGUUGUAUGGCUUUAAGCCCCAAGUUCACAUCACCUAAUGGCACAAAAUCUCAAACCAUGAAUGUAGAAAGCAAUCCUGGACUGGUUAAUUCCUAGGUACCUCACAGAAAUAAAUGCAGACCUUCUCUGAAGAAAGAAGCCCCUUCAACCCAGGCCUCAAAGAAUUCCCAAAAGUAAUUCUCCGAGGAACUCAUGGCUAAAACGAAAAAGCACACAAAGAAACAAGGCACCAGGAGUGAACAUCAGCAGAAACAACGGGCAAUCCAGAUAUUGGAAAUAUCAGGUAUAGACUUAAAAAGAUAAGUCUGCAUAUCAUAUUUAAAGAAGUAAAAGACAAGGUUCAAAAUAGCUUCAAGGGAGAGAAAAUAGUGACCAAAGUUGAGAAAUAACAAAAAGAAUUUCUAAGCAUAUAGUUGAAAUUCGAAAGUCAGUGGAUUAACUAUAAUCAGGCACAAAGGACCCUUCUAGGGAGAUAAGCAGAGUUAUUUUGAAGGAAGUUUCCAUUACCAUUUUUAUUCAAAUUGUACUGGAUGCCCCGGGCAGCAGAGUUAAGGCAAUUUUUUUUUUUUUUUUUUUUAAUGUGUAAGGAUUAGUUGGGAAGAAACAAACCUGGUAUUAUUCAUGGGUAAGAGAAUAGUGCACAUAGAAAAUAUCCACUAGAGUUAAUAAAUCAAUUUAGCAAAGUUGCAGUGAACAAAAGUCAACAUAGAGAAUUUCAUUGUAUUUACUUUUUUUUUUUAAUGUUUAUUUUUGAAGGAGAGAGAGACAGAGACAAACAGAGAGACAGACAGACAGCCAUAGAAGAGAAAAACAGAGAAACUGAAAACUAAUGAUUGAUUUCACAUAUUUGUUCACUUAGGAUGCUGAUUCAAACUUUUUAGG